rnacentral:lncRNA from 1 species
UGCUCUUACACUGCCUGUUUAGUUACACUUCUGCUCUCAGAGGACUGUGUUUUGACUCUCCAAUUUCCAUUGGAAAUAAGCGAGUGUAGCUGAAAGGAGCAUGUCAUAGGAGUACAUGAAAUAACGUCAGCUGUAUCAGCCAUAUGCCAGACACACCACCAGAAAGGAGAUCACUUGCCAUGAUUUCUGAUAAAGAGGAUCUGCAAAGAAGAUCCUGUGAAAUUCAGCGGGACACCUGAAUGUAGGGACUGGGUGAAUGGCAGAACCCGCUGGCAUGUCUAGGGCUGCCAAGGCACAGGCAGAAGACAUCAGAUGGACAGAGGGCGAGGGCAUCAGCAAGG